GAAAUGCGAUAAUUAAUGUGAAUUGCAGAAUUCAGUGAAUCAUCGAGUCUUUGAACGCACAUUGCGCCCCCUGGUAUUCCGGGGGGCAUGCCUGUCCGAGCGUCAUUGCUGCCCUCAAGCACGGCUUGUGUGUUGGGCUUCCGUCCCUGGCAACGGGGACGGGCCCAAAAGGCAGUGGCGGCACCAUGUCUGGUCCUCGAGCGUAUGGGGCUUUUUCACCCGCUCCCGUAGGUCCAGCUGGCAGCUAGCCUCGCAACCAAUCUUUUUAACCAGGUUGACCUCGGAUCAGGUAGGGAUACCCGCUGAACUUAAGC
rnacentral:misc_RNA from 1 species